rnacentral:lncRNA from 10 species
AUGUGGUAUCAACAAUCCAACAAGGAAAGCAGGUCUACGGAUCAACUGCUUAUCCCACGUGGUGGCAGUGACAGUCCAACCCUUGGGUGAUAUCAAUGUUUUGCACCAUCUAGAGAAGAUGGAAUGCCAGUUGAUGAACUGACCUCAAACCAUCCUGAAAUGUGCUAAUAAGUGGUGGGCAUUUCAAGAGUUGGUUGGCCAUGGUGUUCCUCUGUCAGAUACUUUUUCUUAUGAUGGCUAUAAAAAUUUUGCUAAAAUGACUGAUGAAACAGAAGUACUGGAGCUACAAAUGGUAGUGAAGAAUACAUGGGGUCAUAGAGGUAAAGCUGUUUUCUUGGCUCGAGAUAAGCACCAUUUAUUUGGCUGAUCUAAGCCAUCUUAUUCAUCAUGAAGCUCUAUACCAAUUCCAGAAGCAUGUAGAAGAGUUUCAGGGACAGGAUAUAUGUUCCACUGUCAUGGGAGGCUGUAUGGUUGGCACCAUGUUACAUUGUUCAACAGAUGGAAGGAUGCAAAGCAACUGCUCACUAGGUGGUGUGGGGAUAAUGGGCUCACUGAGUGAACAAAGGAAGCAGCUAGCUGUCCAGGUGUCUAAUAUCCUGGGGAUGGAUGUGUGUGGCACUCAUCUCUUGAUGAAAGAUGAUGGCUCCUUCUCUG